GACGUAGGGGGCCAGCGUUGCUCGGAAUUACUGGGCGUAAAGGGUUCGUAGGCGGUGCGGCAAGUCGGGAGUGAAAUCUCUGGGCUUAACUCAGAGGCUGCUUCCGAAACUGCCGUGCUCGAGUGCGGGAGAGGCGAGUGGAAUUGCAGGUGUAGCGGUGAAAUGCGUAGAGAUCUGCAGGAACACCCGUGGCGAAGGCGGCUCGCUGGACCGUAACUGACGCUGAGGAACGAAAGCUAGGGGAGCAAACAGG
rnacentral:rRNA from 1 species